CCCUGUUGCUCAGUUGGUAGAGCAUGGUGUUUGCAACGCCAGGGUUGUGGGUUCGAUUCCCACAGGGG
rnacentral:tRNA from 1 species